rnacentral:rRNA from 1 species
GACGGAGGAUGCGAGCGUUAUCCGGAAUGAUUGGGCGUAAAGCGUCCGCAGGUGGCAGUUCAAGUCUGCUGUCAAAGACCGGGGCUCAACCUCGGAAAGGCAGUGGAAACUGAACAGCUAGAGUAUGGUAGGGGCAAAGGGAAUUCCUGGUGUAGCGGUGAAAUUCGUAGAUAUUCGGAGGAACACCAGUGGCGAAGGCGGCUCACUGGUCCAUUACUGACGCUGAGGUGCGAAAGCGUGGGGAGCAAACAGG